rnacentral:sRNA from 1 species
CUUCCUCGAUCUGCUGCGGGCAGAUGAAAUGAAUAUGGCUGUCGAAGCCGCCGGCGGUGAGGAUCUUGCCCUCACCGGCAAUAACCUCGGUGCCGGGGCCGAUGAUGAUGUCGACGCCGGCUUGCGUGUCGGGAUUGCCGGCCUUGCCUAUGCCGGCGAUGCGGCCGUCCUUCAACCCGAUAUCGGCCUUGUAGAUGCCGGUGUGAUCGACCGCCAGCGCAUUGGUGAUGACGGUGUCGACGGCGCCGUCGGCGCGGGUGACCUGGCUUUGCCCCAUGCCGUCACGGAU